GGUUAUGUGACUUGGAGGUAGAGUGCUUGCCUAGCAUGCAUGAAGCCCUAGGUUCAAUUCCUCAGUACCA
rnacentral:tRNA from 1 species